UUGAACGCUGGCGGCAGGCCUAACACAUGCAAGUCGAGCGCGAAAGGUUUUCGGACUGAGUAAAGCGGCGGACGGGUGAGUAACGCGUGGGAAUCUGCCCAGUAGUGGGGGACAACAGUCGGAAACGACUGCUAAUACCGCAUACGCCCUACGGGGGAAAGGGGGGGAUCUUCGGACCUCUCGCUAUUGGAUGAGCCCGCGUCGGAUUAGCUAGUUGGUAGGGUAAAGGCCUACCAAGGCUACGAGCCGUGACUGGUCUGAGAGGAUGAUCAGUCACACUGGAACUGAGACGCGGUCCAGACUCCUACGGGAGGCAGCAGUGGGGAAUAUUGGACAAUGGGGGCAACCCUGAUCCAGCCAUGCCGCGUGUGUGAAGAAGGCCUUAGGGUUGUAAAGCACUUUCAGUGGGGAGAAAGGUUUGUCACCUAAUACGUGAUGAAAUUGAUGUUACCCACAGAAGAAGCACCGGCUAACUCCGUGCCAGCCGCCGCAGUAA
rnacentral:rRNA from 1 species